ACCGCGUCUGAUUAGCUAGUUGGUAAGGUAACUGCUUACCAAGGCAACGAUCAGUAGCCGACCUGAGAGGGCGACCGGCCACAUUGGGACUGAGACACGGCCCAAACUCCUACGGGAGGCAGCAGUGGGGAAUAUUGCACAAUGGGGGAAACCCUGAUGCAGCGACGCCGCGUGAGCGAAGAAGGCCUUCGGGUCGUAAAGCUCUGUCCUCAAGGAAGAUAAUGACGGUACCUGACUAAGAAGCACCGGCUAAAUAC
rnacentral:rRNA from 1 species